UAUUUCGACAUUGAUCAGUAAACAAACCGAUGGAAACCCAAGUUGAAGUUUCUGAUGGAAGACCUUGACAAAACUAAGAGUCUGUUAGAUCAACUGAAUGUCGGCAUUAUCACGUACUUAGGGAAGAAAAAUGGUGUGUGUAAAGUGGACCUAGACCAAAGAACUCCGGCUGAUAGACAUGCUGUCCUUAUGUGGGAACAGAGGAACACAUGUUUCCUACCAGAAGAUUUAAAGAAUUUUUACCUGACGACUGAUGGGUACAAGUUGACAUGGUGUGUGAAAAUGGACAGUAAGUGAUUAGCAGGGAUCCAUCUACGACGGCCCAAUUCCUCUGGGUAAACUCCACAUCAACAAACUAAGUCAGCUGACCCGCAUCGGUGGAAGCAUUGCCCCUAGUCAUGUAAACCCGACCCUGGCCGACCUUGAUGGAGACUCAGACACCGAGGACCCAGUGUCAGGGCAGGAGAAGCCGACCUUUGACAACAGGUGUAAGGUGUUUGAGUUAGAUCCGUGUGACGGGUACGGGCGAGUGUGCCUCGUGUAUAAAGAAAGCAGGACAGGAGGAAACGAGCCGCGAGUUGAGAUCUGGUUCCUCGACCGGGCGUUACGAUGGCACUUCCUGUCCGACUCUUUCGUCGCCUACUACAGACUGCUGCUGAUGCACAUGGGGCUUCCCCAGUGGCAGUACGCCCUCACAGACAUCGGGCUCAGUCAGCAGGCACAGCAAUGGUUCAACAUGUAUGCCCCCACACGGCUAGAACUGGACCGGGAGUCGAUGUGUGACCCCCACACAUUGCCUUCCAUCCCAAAGUCCGGGAGUGUCCUUGACAUUGGCAAGGUCUUCAAGGGGAAGACAGACAAAAAAAAGCCAGCUUCCUCAUCUCAGCCUAAUGCAGCCAAUGCCAAGAAAAAAACGGUCAUCACAUCAGCAAAGUCUCAACAAGUGUCAGGUCUGAGGACAUCAGCGUCAACAUCCCAACUCCCCAACAAAAUCACCAAGUGAAUGCUUGUACCAUUAUACAUGUAUUUAUUAACUGUGUAUAUAGGCCUACAUGUAGUGUCAGUUAUAAAAACUUCAAGCUACAUUAUAAAUAUGUACAUGUGUGUAGCUAGGUAUAGACUUUAUGAUAUUCUUGUAAUUAUUGGGGGAGGGGGUAAUUAUUGUCAUAUUUAUCAAAAUGUAUAAGAAG
rnacentral:misc_RNA from 1 species